rnacentral:rRNA from 1 species
UAAGACAGAGGGGGCAAGCGUUGCUCGGAAUCACUGGGCGUAAAGGGCGCGUAGGCGGGAUGGCAAGUCGGUCGUGAAAUCCUUCGGCUCAACCGAAGAACGUCGGCCGAUACUGCCGUUCUUGAGGGAUGCAGAGGAGAUUGGAAUUCCCGGUGUAGCGGUGAAAUGUGUAGAGAUCGGGAGGAACACCGGUGGCGAAGGCGGGUCUCUGGGCAUCUCCUGACGCUGAGGCGCGAAAGCGUGGGGAGCAAACGGGAUUAGAUACCCCGGUAGUCCACGCUGUAAACGAUGACGACUAGGUGUGGGGGGGGUUAGUCCUUUCCGUGCCGCAGCUAACGCAUUAAGUCGUCCGCCUGGGGAGUACGGCCGCAAGGUU